UUACAAGGCCGAUUGGCUUUUCCUCCUCAUGAAGGAACCCCCGAAGGGAGACCCUCACUCCAGUCUCAGGAAUCGCGAGCCCAGAAAGCCACAACAGUCA
rnacentral:pre_miRNA from 7 species